CAGAAUAUAGCUUAUACAAAGCAUUUUGCUUACACCAAGAAAAUAUCAAACAACCCAGAUUAUUCUG
rnacentral:tRNA from 1 species